CAAGGUAUAGCUAGUAAGAAAGCGUCUCUUUUACACGGAGCGGACCCCUGUGCGAUUCAGGUUACUUUGA
rnacentral:tRNA from 1 species